rnacentral:rRNA from 1 species
AACGCUGGCGGCAGGCUUACACAUGCAAGUCGAGCGAUCCUUUCGGGGAUAGCGGCGGACGGGUGAGUAACGCGUGGGAACGUGCCCAGCUCUGCGGGAUAGCCUCUGGAAACGGAGAUUAAUACCGCAUACGCCCUUCGGGGGAAAGAAUUUCGGAGUUGGAUCGGCCCGCGUUAGAUUAGGUAGUUGGUGGGGUAAUGGCCUGCCAAGCCUACGAUCUAUAGCUGGUUUGAGAGGAUGAUCAGCCACACUGGGACUGAGACACGGCCCAGACUCCUACGGGAGGCAGCAGUGGGGAAUCUUAGACAAUGGGGGCAACCCUGAUCUAGCCAUGCCGCGUGAGUGAUGAAGGCCUUAGGGUCGUAAAGCUCUUUCGCUGGGGAAGAUAAUGACUGUACCCAGUAAAGAAACCCCGGCUAACUCCGUGCCAGCAGCCGCGGUAAUACGGAGGGGGUUAGCGUUGUUCGGAAUUACUGGGCGUAAAGCGCGCGUAGGCGGGCUAUUAAGUCAGGGGUGAAAUCCCGGGGCUCAACCCCGGAACUGCCCUUGAUACUGGUAGCCUUGAGUUCGAGAGAGGUGAGUGGAAUUCCGAGUGUAGAGGUGAAAUUCGUAGAUAUUCGGAGGAACACCAGUGGCGAAGGCGGCUCACUGGCUCGAUACUGACGCUGAGGUGCGAAAGUGUGGGGAGCAAACAGGAUUAAAUACCCUGGUUAGUCCACACCGUAAAC